UACGUAGGGUGCAAGCGUUAAUCGGAAUUACUGGGCGUAAAGCGUGCGCAGGCGGUUAUGUAAGACAGGUGUGAAAUCCCCGGGCUUAACCUGGGAACUGCAUUUGUGACUGCAUAGCUAGAGUACGGUAGAGGGGGAUGGAAUUCCGCGUGUAGCAGUGAAAUGCGUAGAUAUGCGGAGGAACACCGAUGGCGAAGGCAUCCCCUGGACCUGUACUGAC
rnacentral:rRNA from 1 species